rnacentral:tRNA from 1 species
GGGGUUGUAGCUCAGUGGUAAAGUGCAUACUUAGCUUACUUGAAUCCCUGGGUUUAAUCCCCAGCAGCACCA